rnacentral:lncRNA from 1 species
GGGAGUUCAAGGUCCUCCUGAUGUUUUUGGGAUGCCCAGGGGGGGUCUUGGGGUGCAGAGAGGAUCCCAGGCCCCCCCUAAGGAUAUUGGGGUGCUCAGGGGGGUCUUGGGGUGCAGGGUGGCUCCCAGGGCCCCCCUAAGGAUAUUGGGGUGCUGGGGGGGGCUUAGCGCUCCCCAUAGAUAUUGGGGUGCAGGGGGAGAAUCUCAAAACCCCCAUAAGGGUUUUGGGAUCCUAAGAUUUGGGGGGGGGCCUUAGGACCCCCCAAAGUGUAUUGGGGUGCCGUGGGGGGGGUGUGAGGCUGCAGGAGCACCUUCCCCUCCCCUCGUUAAAUCUUUUUGGGGUGCCCCCCCUGAAAUCUUUUUGGGGUGCCCCCCUCCCAGAUCAUGGAGGCAGAGACGGAAUCCCCCCCCCCGCGACCUAGAGCUGUCGGCGCUUGAAGCCGAAAAAGAGCCGAUGGCGGCGAGAGCGGAGAACGAGGAUGAAGAGGAAGAAGAAAGGGGGGGCCCUGCCCCCCCCGGGCCCGAUCCUGUCCCCCUCCCCGGCAGCGAAAAGAACGGCUUGGUGAAAAUCCCAACGGAUGAAGAAUUGGGGGGGGGGCCCCGACGUUUCAGGGGGUUGUAAAUUUACAGGUUUAGGGAAAGAAGAAUUAUUGCGGGCGGCGGGGGCCCCCCCCCUGGGCGAAGGCUCGAGCUCUCCUCCUCUUCCUCUUCUGGCUCGGCUGGUUGGGGAUGUUGGGGGCCGCCGCCGCCAUCGUCGCCCGGGCCCCCCGCUGUCGACCCCUGCCCCCCCCGCGCUUGGUGGGAGUUGGGGGGGCUUUAUCGAGCCCCCCCGCGUCCCUUUGCGGGGGACUUGAAAGGCGUGGCGGCGCGGCUGGAUCACGUGGCGGGGCUGCACAUGCGGGGGCUGGUGUUGGGGCCGCUGCACCCCCAAAUCUCAGGGGAUCCCCGAAAUUCCUCCCUGGAGCAACUGGAUCCGCUGCUGGGUUCUCUCCAGGACUUUGCCGAUCUCCUGCAGACAGCCAAAAAAAAGGGGCUGCAGGUGAUCCUGGAUUUGACCCCCAACUAUUUUGGGGGGGGCGGCCUGGCUCGGGCCAGAGGUGGCCGAGGACCCCGGAUUCCAUGAGAAGGUCAAGCGGGCGCUGAGCGUGUGGCUGGAGCGCGGCGUCGCCGGCUUUUUCCUGGACGGCAUCGAGGAGCUGCAGGUGGGGCUGGGGGGGCUCUGGGGGGCAGGACGGGGGGACUUGGGGGCUGGGGGGGCUCUCUGGGGCAG